rnacentral:lncRNA from 1 species
CGCUGCCUAGCCUUCAUAGCCGCCACCGACAGCAGAUCCUCGAGCGGCCGGCCUUUCCACCAAACCAUCACGUUGCCAAUCAACGACCGACCAAAAAAAAAAACCAAUGGAUCUGAUUGGGAAAUCGCCGAUCUGUCUUUUGCUCUUCGACCACGAUGCUACCUCAGUGCCGUCCGGCCAAGACCCUAAGGUCAGUCCACCACCACAACAAGGUCAACAGAUCAGACCGGAAAAUCAACACCAAUCUGUCCUAACUUUCGCGAUCUCGAGUCGAUCAGAAAUCCCCCGCCAAACAACAAGACCACACCGCUGCGCUCUACCCUCGUCGGAAAACAAAGGUGCUGCUACCCUCGCCGACGAACAACAACCAACUCAAAUCCAGAAUCAAUCUCGCUCCACGCAUUGAUGAAGGUGUUUAGAAAAUAGCCUCGCUCGGGCUAGAUCGGUGUCGGACCACAGACAAUCGCCACCGAUUUGCACGAAACCCUAGGCUAGGGUUUCAACUCGAUGACGGCCGAGAGGAAGAGCUCUCAC